UGUCCCUUUGUUCCUGAAAUCUUCAGGGUUAAUCCUCCAAUAAUCCUAAAUUGGGAUGACAGUACUAAGAAUCUUGACUAAUUUUAGGUAUGCAGGCCUCUACUUGAAACUUAAAUUUGUCAAAAAUCUGAAUCUAUCGUUCUUUUCCUCCUUCCCUCCUUCCCCUUGCUGUUCAGGAAUGUUCCCUUGUAGCUGCUUUCCUUAAACGAACCAACUGCUUCUCACAAAAUCUCUCACUUCCUUUAGUUAUGCCAUGCACAGAACAGAGGGGCGAAGCCAGUCCUAAGCCAAUGGAUGUUAUUUAACAGAAAUGAAAACAAAACACAACUUUUCAACACAAAAGGAACACCUUUGCCCCAAAUCACCUAAUUUUUUAAAACAUCCCUUCUGAUACCAAAGCUAAGGCUUAUAUGGUGUGCAGUUUCUCUUUGAAGAGCCCAUGGAUAUUUCUAUAACAAGAAUACUGCAGCUAAGUACAGAGAAGACAAGCUGUAGUGGAGUUUCACUGGUGCCAGCCAGGGGCAUGUAUCUCAUAUUCGUCUUGGUGGCACAGAGCACAGCAGCCAUCUAGGACCAGCCUUGUGUCUUGGACUGAAUCCAGAAUAAACAAGCACCCUGGUGGAAAUGCUCCAUAAACACCCAGAAUCUGGAGACAUUCUUAACUUGCAGGAUGUCAAGUUUUUUUCUGGAAAGGGCUGGCAAGCGUGGUGUGCACCAUAGUGUGGUACCCAAUAUCAGCCCAUGAGACUGGAAUAUGCAAUGUAAGUCCUCUCAUGAUCCCACACACCCAAUGGCAAGGAGGUAUUUGGCAUGAAUUUUAUUAAUAUAAAAUAGAAUAACAACCUGCAGCGUAAUAUAGUAGCACUGAUUGUCCAAAGAUUUUAGGCUAGACUGUCUUUGUUGUAAAAACAAAAGCAGGGCUGGAGAUCACUGCUUUAUGCGCGGGUUUGGCAGGGCUUGAAAUGCUGUGUGCUCCUGAGAAGUGUUUACAAAUUGGAGGUAACUCAAAGAAAAGGAGGGAAUUAAGAAGUGAGGAAGUUAGAAGGAAUGAUACAUAAGACAGCAAAAGAAGAAGCCAGCAGACACAUGCGUUGUCCGAGGUAUACUGAGUAGGAGGGGUAAAUUUAGUGAGCUCCAAUGAGAUCUUGAAAGACAGUAAGAGUAGCACAUUGGGAGGAAGUUAUUGUCGGGAAAUGAAAGGCAAGGCACAAUAAAGAAAAAUAGUAGCCUGUACCGGCUGCUGGAUUAUUAAUGACAAAAAUUAAAACAUCCAACCAAAAAGUUAAUCCAAGCCAAGCCUUGUCUCCUGCAUCUCUGGAAUUUCAUAGGGAAGCUUUCUUAUCUCAAGUAAGUGAGGAUGAAACCAGCAUGGCCAUUGAGGAGUUAAUUUUGGAAAAAAGUACCCUUGAGAGAGCAGGAAUACCAGGGGUGACCAGCCUCAGCUCCUCAGUUUAUGCUGCUGACAAACAGUGCAAGAAGGACUGCCGUGGCACUUCAUAUGAUUGACAGCAGGGCGAUGCUAGCCCUGUGGAUAUGGCAAGGUCCUGCACGCACAUUGGGACAGUUGCAUCACUACAGACUGGGGGAUGAAUGGAUCGUGAGCAGCUCUGUGGAGAAGGACUUGGGGAUAUUGGUUGAUGAAAACCAGGACAUGAACCAGCAAUGUGUGCUAGCAGCCCAGAAAGCCAUCUGUAUCUUGGGC